rnacentral:rRNA from 1 species
UAAGCGAAUGGUGAAAUUAUCAGGCUCAACCUGGUAACUGUUAUUCGAACUGAUUCACUAGAGUACGAGAGAGGAAGCUGGAAUUCCCGGUGUAGGAGUGAAAUCCGUAGAUAUCGGGAGGAACACCAAUGGCGAAGGCAGGCUUCUGGCUCGUUACUGACACUGAGGCUCGAAAGCGUGGGGAGCGAAACGGGAUUAGAUACCCCGGUAGUCCACGCCGUAAACGAUGGAUGCUA